GGCUGAACGACAGGAGAGAGGCCAGGCCUGUGGCUUAAUCUGUGUGCAGUGGCGCUUGCCGGGCACCGGCGUGGAGCAGUAAGGUGCGGCGCGGACUCGCGGGAUGAGACAAUCCUCUACUCUUUACCGGUGGCGACCUCCUGGUGCGGCCAGGACCCGAGCGCGGGUCUUCCUCUGAGCCUGCCACAUUCAAGUAAUGGAUCUGCUGAUGGGACUAAUGAGUCUAAUCGAAAACCCCCUCUCUCCUUCCCUGCCUGCACGGCGCUCCCCUCUCUGCCGUCUGCGAUUCCCGGCGCCGGCUCUCCCUUUCCCAUGUGUCAGGCGAGACCUUCCAGCCGGAGGGAGCGCGGCCGGCGGCGGGGCUGCGGGGAGAGGGAGGAGAGAGCAGGUCCUUCGCCCGCGCUGGCUGCCUCUCGCUGUCGCUCGCCAGGCAGAGAUCGCUAAGCAAUUACUUCCCCACCGCCUGCCCUCACCUACUCCUGCUCCAGCACAGAGGAUGCGGCUGCACUGAUAACACUUCACCGCUGUUGACGCGUGUAGGAGUUAGAAAGCCAUCGGCUCAUUUUCUCUCUGUGCUUCUGAGCCCCCCUCCUCCUUUCCCCUCCCUCCCUGUUGGUAUCGGUUAGGCAGGAAAAAAAAGGGCAAAUGCUGGAUUCCUCCCGUGGCUCUCUCCGUGCUGAAUGACUCCUGACAGACACAAUCCAGCUCCUCGCUGACAAACUCUCCUGCCUUAACCCUGCGAGCGCUGGGCCGCUGCUGCUCCCGUCGAUUCUGGAUCGGCAGCAGCUAGUGGCUGCGGGAGAAGAGAAACAACGGUUAAGGAGAGCAAAGGCUCGGGCUUCUGCUCCUGCUCGGCACUGCCUUUGGAACAGCUGGAACGGCUCCUAAUUGCAAUAGUAAUGGAUCAAUGAGGGAAGGGUUUGCAGUGUACUGCACUGGGGGUUUUAAGUUACAGACCUACUGCAUGUUUGUUUCCUCUGAUUCACACAUGAAUGAUUCAGAGAUAGUUUCUGUGCGGCUGCCUCUUUCGAAGAGGCGUGAAAGAGCGAAGGGCAGGGGGCUGGGUUGAAGUGCUCUACCCGGACCAGCCCUGCAGGUUCCAUUCUUAAUUUCACACAGAUCUGCGCUCGCCGAGGUCCCGACUUCACAAGCAGCAAGAUCUCUAUCUGCAAGUGCAAUACAGAUGGGGAUGUCCUUGGCAGAUCCACUCUGCUGGGGAUGGUCAGGAAGAUGAAGAGCUGGGCGUGGAGAAUCCACCAGGAAGAGCCUGUGGCUUUGGGAACGGAGGCUUACGCGCGUCUGUAACAGAACCGUGCCCUUUCUCCAACGGGCUUCAGUGCGUCUGCACUGAACAGUGUGCGAUUCUCAGAGAAAACAAUUCUGCGUGGUUUUAUGAGCAAAUGUAAAUACUUAAAGGUAUACGUCCAGCAAGAAACAACACAGGUGAGCAGCAGGGCCUGCUGCCAUGUCGCCCAGGACACACCCAUGUGAAGCAGUCUACAGCGCCAACGGCCACACGGGACACUGCCUUUUUGCCACAGGACUGUGGUACGCACGCUGUUGUAGGGACACUUCGUGCAUGUAGACCUAUAUCAUAGACUUUACCACUUCGCUUUACUAUAGUUUUUUUUGCGGGGGGCUGGGGGGGGAUGUAGAGCACGUAUCCCAUUUAAAAAUCUUUUGGUAUUCAAUGUGUAUGCAUAUAUAUAGAGAGCAGAAUCAGGACCACAAGACCCGCCAACUCUGUACCUUUGGAACUGAAUGGACACAUACAGUAUAUGAAAUAAAAUACAUUCCUGAGAAAUCA